rnacentral:rRNA from 1 species
AUUGAACGCUGGCGGCAGGCCUAACACAUGCAAGUCGAGCGGUAGAGAGGUGCUUGCACCUCUUGAGAGCGGCGGACGGGUGAGUAAUGCCUAGGAAUCUGCCUGGUAGUGGGGGAUAACGCUCGGAAACGGACGCUAAUACCGCAUACGUCCUACGGGAGAAAGCAGGGGACCUUCGGGCCUUGCGCUAUCAGAUGAGCCUAGGUCGGAUUAGCUAGUUGGUGAGGUAAUGGCUCACCAAGGCGACGAUCCGUAACUGGUCUGAGAGGAUGAUCAGGCACACUGGAACUGAGACACGGUCCAGACUCCUACGGGAGGCAGCAGUGGGGAAUAUUGGACAAUGGGCGAAAGCCUGAUCCAGCCAUGCUGCGUGUGUGAAGAAGGUCUUCGGAUUGUAAAGCACUUUAAGUUGGGAGGAAGGGUCGUUACCUAAUACGUGACGAUUUUGACGUUACCGACAGAAUAAGCACCGGCUAACUCUGUGCCAGCCGCCGCUGUAAUAC